rnacentral:lncRNA from 1 species
AUGACAGACUCAGAAAGUUACUUUCUGAUAAGUGGGACUAAGUUGGCACGGACACAGAGGAAUACAAACAUGGAUGCAAACGGCCGGUAUGAAAUUGUAGCAGAGAAAGCAAAAUAUUUGGAUGAUGCUGCAUCAGUACUGGCAAGACUACCUGAUGGAGGGGGAGACAUCUCAAAAGUCUGUACAUUCAAAGGGUACAAGAGCAACAAGUAAACUCCUUGUGACCCCUGAGGUGAAAUAAGGAAGAAAAAAUGCAGAAUGUUUCUCCAAACUUAUGGCUUUCGAAGGAUGUGCACAGAUGACUACCAAAAU